UUUUAGUCGAAAAACCUGGGUUUAUUUCUUGCAAGAAAAAUCGGAAGCUUUCACAGCCUUUCAAAUGUUUAAAGCACUAGUUGACAGAGAAGCUGACAGCCAAAUUAAAAUAUUGCGUACUGAUCGUGGUGGAGAGUUCAACUCUCAAGAAUUUGGAAGCUUCUGUGAAAAUCAUGGAGUUAGAAGACAAUUGACAGCAGCCUACACACCUCAGCAAAAUGGUGUAUGCGAGAGGAAAAAUCGUACAAUUCUUAAUAUGGUACGAAGCCUUCUGCAGAGGAGUGGUCUUCCCAAAAGUUUUUGGCCUGAAGCAGUUGUUUGGAGUGUUUAUAUUUUGAACAGAAGCCCCACAAUAGCUGUUCAAAAUAUAACUCCUGAAGAAGCAUGGAGUGGAUGUAAGCCGACAGUAGAUCACUUUCGGGUAUUUGGAUGUAUAGCAUAUGUCCACGUACCAGAUGAGAAAAGAAGAAAAUUAGAUGACAAAGGUGUAAAGUGCAUUUUUCUUGGUGUUAGUGAUCAUUCAAAGGCCUACAAAUUAUAUGAUCCCAUCAUCAAGAAAAUUGUCAUUAGUCGUGAUGUCAUUUUUGAUGAAGAGAAGACAUGGAUGUGGAGAUGCAGUUCUGUUGGGCAGCAAAUUCUAGCAGAUUUCGAUGGUGAAAUUGAAGAAAAUUCACAGCAACUUCAGCCUUCAACAGUCUCUGCUCCUGACCUGCCGCAAAAUAGAGUCUCAGCAGAAACUCCACCAGCAACAAAUGAACUUGAUGAACAAGUUGAAGCUACAGAUUCACGUUCUCAACGUGAUAGAAGAAGGCCUGCAUGGAUGUCAGAUUAUGAGGUAACAGGAUUUAACACUCUUGAGAAUCCACUCAUACACUUUGCCUUGUUUUCAGAAUGUGAUCCUACAACUUUUAAAGAAGUUGUCAAAGAACAAAAAUGGCUAAAAGCCAUGGACGAAGAAAUUGCAUCCAUUGAAAAAAAUAAUACUUGGGAGUUGACUGAACUUCCAAUGGGGCAGAGGACAAUAGGAGUCAAGUGGGUUUACAAGACAAAAUUGAAGGAAAAUGGUGAAAUUGAUAAAUACAAGGCACGCCUAGUCGCCAUUCAACCUGCAAUUCCCCGCUUUGAUGGUCACUAUAACCAUUGGAGCAUGUUGAUGGAGAAUUUCUUAAGGUCCAAGGAGUAUUGACAGGUUGUUUCAACUGGAAUAACUGAACCACCAGCCGGUGUUGUUUUGACGGAUGCUCAGAAAAUAGAGCUUGAAGGGCAACGAUUAAAGGAUCUCAAGGCAAAGAAUUACUUGUUCCAAGCUAUUGAUCGCUCAAUCUUGGAAACAAUUAUUAACAAAGACUCCUCCAAACAAAUUUGGGAUUCCUUGAAAAAGAAGUACCAAGGGACAGCAAGGGCGAAGUGGGUACACCUCCGGACACUUCGAGCUGAAUUUGAAUCUCUACGAAUGAAGAUGGGAGAGUCGGUCUCAGCAUACUUUGCAAGGACAAUGGCAAUCGCAAAUAAGAGACGAAUUCAUGGCGAGCAGCUCGAGGAUGUUAUCAUAAUUGAGAAGAUUCUUCGAUCUUUAACGGCAAAAUUUAACUAUAUUAUUUGUGCGAUUGAGGAAUCAAGGGAUAUUGACACACUUUCGAUUGAUGAAUUGGAAAGCACUUUACUAGUCCAUAAGCAGAAAGUAAUCCGACAGGAUAAGGAAGAACAGGCAUUACAGGCAGCAGCAAAUCUCAAACCAACUGGAGGGGGUAAAGGAGGCUGGAAAGACAAGAAUGGGCAGAACAGGUUAGAAGAAAAGGUUGAUGAUUCUCAAGGAAAAGGAAAGGAUUAUGAUGGUCAGAAUUCGACAGGACAUAAACCAAAGUCUAAAGACAAAUCGAAUGUUAAAUGCUUCCGUUGUCAGAAGUACGGUCAUUACCGCUCCGAGUGUCGUACUAAUUUAAAUAAGAAUCGUGGCGAGAAAUCUAACUUUGUAGAAAAGGAGAAAGAAGAAAUUUCCCUUCUUAUGGCAUGUCAUACAAAGGAGGAAAGUCACCAAAAUCUAUGGUAUUUAGAUACCGGUUGCAGCAAUCAUAUGUGUGGGGAUAAAUCUGUUUUUUCUGACUUGGAUGAGACUUUUUGAAAUACUGUAAAAUUUGGUGAUGACUCCACAGUUUCUGUCAUGGGGAAAGGAAGGGUUGCAAUCCAAACCAAGGAAAUUUCUCAUUCUAUCUCAAAUGUUCUAUUCGUUCCUGAACUGAAAACUAACAUUCUCAGUGUUGGCCAGUUACAAGAAAAGGGGUAUGAGAUCUCUAUCAAGGAAGGAGUUUGCCGAAUCCACGAUGAAAAAUUGGGCUUAAUUGCUCAAGUGAAAAUGACGGCAAAUAGAAUGUUUCCAUUAUAUCUUCACCAUACUGCACACUCAUGUUUUGCUGCAAAUUUCAAAGAUACAACAUGGUUAUGGCACUUUCGUUACGGGCAUCUUAGUUUUGGUGGAUUGAAGACCUUGCAGCAGAAAAAUAUGGUGGUAGGCCUUCCACAAUUUGAGCAACCUUCACAGCUUUGCGAAGAGUGUAUUUUCAGUAAGCAACAUCGAGAUAAAUUUCCAAAAGGAAAAUCUUGGAGGACAAAGAAAGUGCUGGAGCUAGUGCAUUCUGACUUAUGUGGACCAAUCAAGCCAACAUCAAAUGGAGGUAAAUGAUAUUUUAUCUCAUUUAUUGAUGAUUUUAGUCGAAAAACCUGGGUUUAUUUCUUGCAAGAAAAAUCGGAAGCUUUCACAGCCUUUCAAAUGUUUAAAGCACUAGUUGACAGAGAAGCUGACAGCCAAAUUAAAAUAUUGCGUACUGAUCGUGGUGGAGAGUUCAACUCUCAAGAAUUUGGAAGCUUCUGUGAAAAUCAUGGAGUUAGAAGACAAUUGACAGCAGCCUACACACCUCAGCAAAAUGGUGUAUGCGAGAGGAAAAAUCGUACAAUUCUUAAUAUGGUACGAAGCCUUCUGCAGAGGAGUGGUCUUCCCAAAAGUUUUUGGCCUGAAGCAGUUGUUUGGAGUGUUUAUAUUUUGAACAGAAGCCCCACAAUAGCUGUUCAAAAUAUAACUCCUGAAGAAGCAUGGAGUGGAUGUAAGCCGGCAGUAGAUCACUUUCGGGUAUUUGGAUGUAUAGCAUAUGUCCACGUACCAGAUGAGAAAAGAAGAAAAUUAGAUGACAAAGGUGUAAAGUGCAUUUUUCUUGGUGUUAGUGAUCAUUCAAAGGCCUACAAAUUAUAUGAUCCCAUCAUCAAGAAAAUUGUCAUUAGUCGUGAUGUCAUUUUUGAUGAAGAGAAGACAUGGAUGUGGAGAUGCAGUUCUGUUGGGCAGCAAAUUCUAGCAGAUUUCGAUGGUGAAAUUGAAGAAAAUUCACAGCAACUUCAGCCUUCAAUAGUCUCUGCUCCUGACCUGCCGCAAAAUAGAGUCUCAGCAGAAACUCCACCAGCAACAAAUGAACUUGAUGAACAAGUUGAAGCUACAGAUUCACGUUCUCAACGUGAUAGAAGAAGGCCUGCAUGGAUGUCAGAUUAUGAGGUAACAGGAUUUAACACUCUUGAGAAUCCACUCAUACACUUUGCCUUGUUUUCAGAAUGUGAUCCUACAACUUUUAAAGAAGUUGUCAAAGAACAAAAAUGGCUAAAAGCCAUGGACGAAGAAAUUGCAUCCAUUGAAAAAAAUAAUACUUGGGAGUUGACUGAACUUCCAAUGGGGCAGAGGACAAUAGGAGUCAAGUGGGUUUACAAGACAAAAUUGAAGGAAAAUGGUGAAAUUGAUAAAUACAAGGCACGCCUAGUCGCCAAAGGCUACAAGCAAGAGUUCGGCGUGGAUUAUAAAGAAGUAUUUGCUCCCGUUGCAAGACUUGAAACGAUCAGAUUGAUUAUUG
rnacentral:lncRNA from 1 species